UGGUGACAGUGUAUGUUGGAAAGUUCCUGUAGAAUAGCUUCACCGUCCUCUGAGAUGGGACAGGAAACAAGAGAGAGGUCAGCUGGAAACAUGGAAGAGGCUUGAAGAGCUAAAGUCAUGAGAUGAGCCCUGGCAGGAUUAGUUUGGAUACUGUCCAUGGAACUCCUUUCUGUAUCAACCACCACCAUGAAUCUUUACAAUUGCUUGUUCAUGUUCACUGAGGAAGAGGAAGUAGCGUGUUGCGUAAUUAAACAGAAUCUGGAGAAUUAACGCUGAUAUUUG